GAUUUCUCGGGACCUAGUCAGCAGUAAGGCUGGGCCGAAGUGAUUUAAUUAGCACAUGCAGAUCAGCGCAAAGAGACAGAGAGAGGGAGAAUGGAUGCCGAUGUUCUCUUCCGGGAGCAGAAGUCUCCAUGGUUCGUGUUUGUGUCGCUGGCCAUCCUUGGCGUGCUGUACGUCGCCGCCGUCGCGUGCCGCCUCCUCCAUAUCUCCGGGCUCGCGCUCUGCCUGCGCCGGCCCAAGGACCUCCGCCGCCGCUACGGGGCGUGGGCCGUCGUCACCGGCCCCACCUCCGGCAUCGGCCGCUCCAUGGCCCUGGAGCUCGCGCGGCUCGGCCUCAACCUCGUCCUCGUCGGCCGCGACCCGGCGAAGCUCGACGACAUCUCCCGAGCCGUCUCCGAAGCCCACGGCGUGCAGGCCAAGACCGUGCUGUUCGAUUUCUCACUCGUUUCCACUCCUCAAGGGGAUGAAGCCAUGGGGCGGCUGCGGGAGGCGGUGCAGGGGCUGGAGGUUGGGGUGCUGGUGAACAACGCCGGCGUGGCGACGCCGCACGCGACGUACCUGCACGAGGAGGCCGACGCGGAGGCGUGGGUGAGGAUGAUACGGGUGAACCUGUGGGCGACGACGGAAGUCACGGCGGCUGUGCUGCCCGGGAUGGUUGAGCGCGGGAGGGGCGCCGUCGUCAACAUCGGCUCCGGCGCCACCGAGGCUUUGCCAUCCUACCCCCUCUACUCCGUCUACGCCGCCACCAAACGCAGAUACGUUACUCACUUCUCCAGGAGCCUUUACGUUGAGUACAGGGGCAAAGGAAUCGACGUGCAAUGUCAGGCCCCGCUCUUUGUGGACACGAAGAUGACGACGAACAUGGUGACUCAGGAAGGCCUCUUGUCGUGGAUAAUCAUGCCGACGCCAGAGGCAUACGCCCUCGCAGCGGCACGCUGGAUUGGGCACCGCCGCCCCCUCUGCAUGCCUAAUCUAAGCCACCGGCUGCAAUGGUGCCUUAGCCAAUUCGUGCCGGACCACGUCCUCAACAUGCACCGCCUCCGUGAGAACCUCCGGCAACGUACCAUCUUCCAACGGCUCAAGUGAUAGAGAGCUGCCGCACGGGGUAAAGAGUCAGCUUGGCAUGCAGUAUUUGUUGGUGGGGGUUACCUACUAGUUGGCUUGACGAUUGGUGCUCCGGUGAUCUCUUCGUGGAUGAUUGUGAAGAGAACCGAGCUUCUCCUUCAUGGAGCUUGUAAAGUGGUUAUGGAGCUUGCCAUCUCCAGACUAGAGAAAAAUCUUGCCAUAAGGGAAAGGCAUUUCUCCUUCGUGGUAUUGGCUUGGAGAAGAAUGUGAGCCUUCAUGGAGUUCAAAAGAUAUUCGUGGUAGCCCGCAUCUCUCCAAUGUGACGUACCUCAUCUUGUAUGGAGGAGCACAGGAAUACGUAUUCGUCUCCGCGUGCCUCGGUUAUCUCUAUACUCGAGUUUACUUUUCUUGUGAUAGCCAUCGUGCUUGAAUUACAUAUACCUUGCUA